rnacentral:rRNA from 1 species
CCUACGGGUGGCAGCAGUGAGGAAUAUUGGUCAAUGGGCGCGAGCCUGAACCAGCCAUGCCGCGUGCAGGAAGACGGCUCUAUGAGUUGUAAACUGCUUUUGUACGAGGGUAAACGCAGAUACGUGUAUCUGUCUGAAAGUAUCUUACGAAUAAGGAUCGGCUAACUCCGUGCCAGCAGCCGCGGUAAUACGGAGGAUUCAAGCGUUAUCCGGAUUUAUUGGGUUUAAAGGGUGCGUAGGCGGUCGGAUAAGUUAGAGGUGAAAUCCCGAGGCUCAACUUCGGAAUUGCCUCUGAUACUGUUCGGCUAGAGAGUAGUAACGGUAGGCGGAAUGUAUGGUGUAGCGGUGAAAUGCUUAGAGAUCAUACAGAACACCGAUUGCGAAGGCAGCUUACCAAGCUACUUCUGACGUUGAGGCACGAAAGCGUGGGGAGCAAACAGGAUUAGAUACCCUUGUAGUC